CUUCUGGCCUCAAGCAAUCCUCCUGCCUCAGCCUUCCAAAGAGCUGGCAUUACAGGCAUAAACCACUGUGCCUGCCCUGGCUGGGCAAUGGAUUUUGUAGGCCAAUAAUGAUUCAACUUUUGAGAUAAGGAAACCAAAACUCAAUGUGGCUAGCUUGUCCAGAAUCUCCCAAAGAGUUGGUAAAUGAUGAAGCCAGACUCUGGCACCAAAGCUUGCACUUUUAAUGAGGCAAUGAUGAAUCAAUCCCCUGAGGUAGAGACAAGGGUGACCAAAGACCCUCAAGUUUGCUGCCACUGCUCUGCACCCAGGAGAAUUUCCAGUACAACUUGGGCAACCAGGAACAGGCUGGACAGAUGAUGAAAACCAGUCCUGCAGGCCACUUGUUCCAGAUCUCUCACAGAUUAAUGGGCACUGAAGUUAUAGUUGAUCUCUUUUUGAAAGUACUCUCCACUCUUCAACUCUUUGUAAGUUAAGAGGAAGUCAGGGAGGCCCAAAAACAAAUAUUUUCUUUGGACUCUAGGGCUUUAUCAAUGUGAGGAACAGAGUUUUAGUUCAAAAAACGUCUGCUCUCUUGUGAAAAGUAAAGAGAAGAAAUAUUUUGA